rnacentral:rRNA from 1 species
CGAGCGGACAGAUGGGAGCUUGCUCCCUGAUGUUAGCGGCGGACGGGUGAGUAACACGUAGGUAACCUGCCUGUAAGACUGGGAUAACUCCGGGAAACCGGGGCUAAUACCGGAUGGUUGUUUGAACCGCAUGGUUCAAACAUAAAAGGUGGCUUCGGCUACCACUUACAGAUGGACCCGCGGCGCAUUAGCUAGUUGGUGAGGUAACGGCUCACCAAGGCGACGAUGCGUAGCCGACCUGAGAGGGUGAUCGGCCACACUGGGACUGAGACACGGCCCAGACUCCUACGGGAGGCAGCAGUAGGGAAUCUUCCGCAAUGGACGAAAGUCUGACGGAGCAACGCCGCGUGAGUGAUGAAGGUUUUCGGAUCGUAAAGCUCUGUUGUUAGGGAAGAACAAGUGCCGUUCGAAUAGGGCGGUACCUUGACGGUACCUAACCAGAAAGCCACGGCUAACUACGUGCCAGCAGCCGCGGUAAUACGUAGGUGGCAAGCGUUGUCCGGAAUUAUUGGGCGUAAAGGGCUCGCAGGCGGUUUCUUAAGUCUGAUGUGAAAGCCCCCGGCUCAACCGGGGAGGGUCAUUGGAAACUGGGGAACUUGAGUGCAGAAGAGGAGAGUGGAAUUCCACGUGUAGCGGUGAAAUGCGUAGAGAUGUGGAGGAACACCAGUGGCGAAGGCGACUCUCUGGUCUGCAACUGACGCUGAGGAGCGAAAGCGUGGGGAGCGAACAGGAUUAGAUACCCUGGUAGUCCACGCCGUAAACGAUGAGUGCUAAGUGUUAGGGGGUUUCCGCCCCUUAGUGCUGCAGCUAACGCAUUAAGCACUCCGCCUGGGGAGUACGGUCGCAAGACUGAAACUCAAAGGAAUUGACGGGGGCCCGCACAAGCGGUGGAGCAUGUGUUUAAUUCGAAGCAACGCGAAGAACCUUACCAGGUCUUGACAUCCUCUGACAAUCCUAGAGAUAGGACGUCCCCUUCGGGGGCAGAGUGACAGGUGGUGCAUGGUUGUCGUCAGCUCGUGUCGUGAGAUGUUGGGUUAAGUCCCGCAACGAGCGCAACCCUUGAUCUUAGUUGCCAGCAUUCAGUUGGGCACUCUAAGGUGACUGCCGGUGACAAACCGGAGGAAGGUGGGGAUGACGUCAAAUCAUCAUGCCCCUUAUGACCUGGGCUACACACGUGCUACAAUGGACAGAACAAAGGGCAGCGAAACCGCGAGGUUAAGCCAAUCCCACAAAUCUGUUCUCAGUUCGGAUCGCAGUCUGCAACUCGACUGCGUGAAGCUGGAAUCGCUAGUAAUCGCGGAUCAGCAUGCCGCGGUGAAUACGUUCCCGGGCCUUGUACACACCGCCCGUCACACCACGAGAGUUUGUAACACCCGAAGUCGGUGAGGUAACCUUUUAGGAGCCAGCCGCCGAAGGUGGGACAGAUGAUUGGGGUGAAGUCGUAACAAGGUA